GACAGAGGGUGCAAACGUUGUUCGGAAUUACUGGGCGUAAAGCGCGUGUAGGCGGCCCUGCAAGUCGGAUGUGAAAUCCCACGGCUCAACCGUGGAAGUGCAUUCGAAACUGCAGGGCUAGAGUCCUGGAGAGGAAGGUGGAAUGCUUGGUGUAGAGGUGAAAUUCGUAGAUAUCAAGCGGAACACCGGUGGCGAAGGCGGCCUUCUGGACCAUUUCUGACGCUGAGACGCGAAAGCGUGGGGAGCAAACAGG
rnacentral:rRNA from 1 species